AGAGAAGGAAAAUGCAUUAAAAUGCAGAGCUUAUUGUUAACUUCUAAACAUAGAUACUCAAAAGGUUCUUGAUCUGACCCUUUUCUUUCAUCAAGAAAUGGUUACCUUGCCAUAAUUCGAAUGUGAAAGGGGGUUCCCUUUUCAAGGCUUGAAUUGAAGUAUUCUCCACAGCAAAUACUAUUCUAAGUAUUCAUAUUCAUCCACAACACACAUAUACAUACAUAAACAAAUAUAGAAAACUUCAACUGUAAAAAAAAUAGCAAAUAUAGAUAACAAGAAACACUUACCGGUG